UUCCUGCUGUGGCAGCGCUCAACUCUUGCCAAUGCUCUUCUCUGCUUUGCUCACUUUAAGCCUCCCUUAAUUUUUUUGAAGCCCAGUUUCCACAUUGCUGAUUCACAGAUAUGCAAGACUCAGGCAGGAAAAAAAAAGUGUCUCCUUUUCCAGACUUCUUAGAAGACUUGGAAAGAAAAUGAAAUGACGUUGAACGAAAUCAAAGUAAAUUGAGUGAUCUGAAACGAUUUGAUGUCAGCAAGAAUUCCCUAUACAGCUCACAGCCCUACCCCGAGCACGCCUCCCUCUUGGGUAUGCUCUCUGCAGGCCCAAACCUUGCAGAAGCCAUUCCAUGUUCCCUGAGCAGGAAAAGACAAACUCAGACCGACAACCUUGGACUUCAAAAGACGGCACACAAGGGGAGGAAGGACUGAGAGUACCAAGGCGUGAGAAUUCAGAAUGCUGCUAUCUCAUUUAUUUUUACUAUUUAGGAAACGUUUUGAUCUGCAUCCUUUUCCCUUCCCUGAUUUCAAAAAAUAAAGAUAAAAAUGCUUCGGUU